rnacentral:lncRNA from 1 species
AUGGUUUUUCCAGUGGUCAUGUAUGGAUGUGAGAGUUGGACUGUGAAGAAGGCUGAACACCGAAGAAUUGAUGCUUUUGAACUGUGGUGUUGGAGAAGACUCUUGAGAGUCCCUUGGACUGCAAGGAGAUCCAACCAGUCCAUUCUGAAGGAGAUCAACCCUGGGAUUUCUUUGGAAGGAAUGAUGCUAAAGCUGAAACUCCAGUACUUUGGCUACCUCAUGCGAAGAGUUGACUCACUGGAAAAGACUCUGCUGGGAGGGAUUGGGGGCAGGAGGAGAAGGGGACGACAGAGGAUGAGAUGGCUGGAUGGCAUCACUGACUCGAUGGACAUGAGUCUGAGUGAACUCCGGGAGUUGGUGAUGGACAGGGAAGCCUGGCGUGCUGCAAUUCAUGGGGUCUCAAAGAGUUGGACACGACUGAGUGACUGAACUGAACGGAAUGGUUUUUCCAGUAGUCAAGUAUGGAUGUGAGAGUUGGACUAUAAAGAAAGCUUAGUGCCGAAGAAUUGAUGCUUUUGAAUUGUGGUGUUGGAGAAGACUCUUGAGAGUCCCUUGGACUGCAGGGAGAUCAAACAAGUCAAUCCUGAAGGAAGUCAGUCCUGAAUAUUCAUUGGAAGGACUGAUGCUAAAGAUGAAAUUCCAAUUAUUUGGCCACCUGACUCCUUGGAAAAGACCCUGAUGCUGGGAAAGAUUGAAGGCAAGAGGAGAAGGGGACAACAGAGGAUGAAAUGGUUGGAUGGCAUCACUGACUCAAUGGACAUGAGUUUGAGUAAGCUCUGGGUGUUGGUGAUGGACAGAGAAGCCUGGCGUGCUGCAGUCCAUGGGGAUACAAAGAGUCAGACAUGACUGAGCGACUGAACUGAACUGAACUGAUUACACUGUGAAAAUUUAUGUGCAUAUCUUUAUAUGGAUAUAGGUAAUCAUCCCUGAUGGCUCAGUUGGUAAAGAAUCUGCCUGCAAAUCAGGAGACCCUGGUUCUAUUUCUGGGUAGAGAAGAUCCUCUGGAGAAGGGACAGGUUACCCACUCCAGUGUUCUUGGGCUUCCCUUGUGGCUUAGCUGGUAAAGAAUCUGCCUACAAUGCGGGAGACCUGGGUUUGAUCCCUGGUUCGGAAGAUCCCCUGGAGAAGAGAAAGGUUACCCACUCCAAUACUCUGGCCUAGAGAAUUCCAUGGACUGUAUAAUCCAUGGGGUCUCAAAGAGUUGGACACGGCGGAGUGACUUUCAUGUUCACAGAAAAGAUCUAUGAAUAGACACAA